UACGGAGGAUCCGAGCGUUAUCCGGAUUUAUUGGGUUUAAAGGGUGCGUAGGCGGAAUUGUAAGUCAGUGGUGAAAUCCUUCAGCUUAACUGAAGAACUGCCAUUGAUACUGCAGAUCUUGAGUAUAUUUGAAGUGGGCGGAAUGUGUCAUGUAGCGGUGAAAUGCUUAGAUAUGACACAGAACACCGAUUGCGAAGGCAGCUCACUAAACUAUAACUGACGCUGAGGCACGAAAGCGUGGGGAG
rnacentral:rRNA from 1 species